UACAGAGGUCUCAAGCGUUGUUCGGAUUCAUUGGGCGUAAAGGGUGCGUAGGCGGCGCGGUAAGUCGGGUGUGAAAUCUCGGAGCUUAACUCCGAAACUGCAUUCGAUACUGCCGUGCUUGAGGACUGGAGAGGAGACUGGAAUUUACGGUGUAGCGGUGAAAUGCGUAGAUAUCGUAAGGAACACCAGUGGCGAAGGCGACUUUCUGGUCUGUAACUGACACUGAGGCGCGAAAGCGUGGGGAGCGAACAGG
rnacentral:rRNA from 1 species